rnacentral:rRNA from 3 species
GGGUUGUGAGGUUAAGCGACCAAGCGUACACGGUGGAUGCCCUGGCAGUCAGAGGCGAUGAAGGACGUGCUAAUCUGCGAAAAGCGCCGGUAAGGUGAUAUGAACCGUUAUAACCGGCGAUGUCCGAAUGGGGAAACCCAGUGUGACUCGUCACACUAUCAUUAACUGAAUCCAUAGGUUAAUGAGGCGAACCGGGGGAACUGAAACAUCUAAGUACCCCGAGGAAAAGAAAUCAACCGAGAUUCCCCCAGUAGCGGCGAGCGAACGGGGAGGAGCCCAGAGCCUGAAUCAGCAUGUGUGUUAGUGGAAGCGUCUGGAAAGGCGCGCGAUACAGGGUGACAGCCCCGUACACAAAAGCGCAUGUGCUGUGAGCUCGAUGAGUAGGGCGGGACACGUGGUAUCCUGUCUGAAUAUGGGGGGACCAUCCUCCAAGGCUAAAUACUCCUGACUGACCGAUAGUGAACCAGUACCGUGAGGGAAAGGCGAAAAGAACCCCGGCGAGGGGAGUGAAACAGAACCUGAAACCGU